rnacentral:rRNA from 1 species
GGGGCUGGCGGGUGCUAUACAUGCAAGUCGAGCGAACUGACGAGGAGCUUGCUCCUUUGACGUUAGCGGCGGACGGGUGAGUAACACGUGGGUAACCUACCUAUAAGACUGGAAUAACUCCGGGAAACCGGGGCUAAUGCCGGAUAACAUAUCGAACCGCAUGGUUCGAUAGUGAAAGACGGUUUUGCUGUCACUUAUAGAUGGACCCGCGCCGUAUUAGCUAGUUGGUGAGGUAACGGCUCACCAAGGCGACGAUACGUAGCCGACCUGAGAGGGUGAUCGGCCACACUGGAACUGAGACACGGUCCAGACUCCUACGGGAGGCAGCAGUAGGGAAUCUUCCGCAAUGGGCGAAAGCCUGACGGAGCAACGCCGCGUGAGUGAUGAAGGUCUUCGGAUCGUAAAGCUCUGUUGUUAGGGAAGAACAAAUGUGUAAGUAACUGUGCACAUCUUGACGGUACCUAACCAGAAAGCCACGGCUAACUACGUGCCAGCAGCCGCGGUAAUACGUAGGUGGCAAGCGUUAUCCGGAAUUAUUGGGCGUAAAGCGCGCGUAGGCGGUUUUUUAAGUCUGAUGUGAAAGCCCACGGCUCAACCGUGGAGGGUCAUUGGAAACUGGAAAACUUGAGUGCAGAAGAGGAAAGUGGAAUUCCAUGUGUAGCGGUGAAAUGCGCAGAGAUAUGGAGGAACACCAGUGGCGAAGGCGGCUUUCUGGUCUGUAACUGACGCUGAUGUGCGAAAGCGUGGGGAUCAAACAGGAUUAGAUACCCUGGUAGUCCACGCCGUAAACGAUGAGUGCUAAGUGUUAGGGGGUUUCCGCCCCUUAGUGCUGCAGCUAACGCAUUAAGCACUCCGCCUGGGGAGUACGGUCGCAAGACUGAAACUCAAAGGAAUUGACGGGGACCCGCACAAGCGGUGGAGCAUGUGGUUAAUUCGAAGCAACGCGAAGACCUUACCAAUCUUGACUCUUUUGACGCUCCUAAGAGAAAAGUUUCCUCUUCGAGGACAAAUGACGGGGGUGAUGUUGCCGUCAGUCCGGCCUGGAAAUGUGGGUAGUCCGCACGAGGCACCCUUGACUAAUUGCCUCUUAAGUGGGCCUUUAAUUGAUGCGGGGAAAACCCGGGAAAAGGGGGGAAACCCAACCUUGCCCUUAGUUUGGGUCCCCGGUCAUGGAAAAAAAGGGGGACCGGGGGGAA